rnacentral:rRNA from 1 species
GACGAACGCUGGCGGCGUGCUUAACACAUGCAAGUCGAACGGAAAGGCCCUGCUUUUGUGGGGUGCUCGAGUGGCGAACGGGUGAGUAACACGUGAGUAACCUGCCCUUGACUUUGGGAUAACUUCAGGAAACUGGGGCUAAUACCGGAUAGGAGCUCCUGCUGCAUGGUGGGGGUUGGAAAGUUUCGGCGGUUGGGGAUGGACUCGCGGCUUAUCAGCUUGUUGGUGGGGUAGUGGCUUACCAAGGCUUUGACGGGUAGCCGGCCUGAGAGGUGACCGGCCACAUUGGGACUGAGAUACGGCCCAGACUCCUACGGGAGGCAGCAGUGGGGAAUAUUGCACAAUGGGCGGAAGCCUGAUGCAGCAACGCCGCGUGCGGGAUGACGGCCUUCGGGUUGUAACCCGCUUUCGCCUGUGACGAAGCGUGAGUGACGGUAAUGGGUAAAGAAGCACCGGCUAACUACGUG